GGCAACGCGCUGAGGUCUGUUUUAUGUUUUGGAAAAUUUGUUCUUUGGCUUUUUUGCAACAAAUUUUGUUGCUGCUCAGUCUUUGGGUCCACGUUGCCUUUAUGAGCUGUAACAUUUACUACGAAGGUUUGCAGCUUUGCUCCUGAAGCCAGCGAGACCACGAACCCACCGGGAGGAAGGAACAACUCCAGACGCGGUGCUUUAAGGAGCUGCAGCACUCACCGUGAAGGUCUUCAGCUUCGUUCCUGAGCCAGUUAGACCACGAACCCACCAGAAGGAAGAAACUCCGAACACAUCUGAGCGUCAGAAGGAACAAACUCCUGACACACUGCCUUUAAGAACUGUGAUAUUCACUACGAGGGUCUGCGGCUUCAUUCUUGAAGUUAGGGAGACCAAGAACCCACCAAUUCCGGACCCAGGAGCACCAGCACGAACGUUCUGGAUAUUCGGCUCUGAGUCGGUUUGUUGUUCAGGAUGGUUUAAAGGUGUAAACUGUGUCUGAUCCUCGAGUGAGAUGGAAAAAAAAAUUAAUUUGCCGCAUCAGUGUCCAUAUCCCAGGAAGACAUCUUGGUUCCCUGAAAAUUUGUCAGGGAUGGUGAAAUCUCCAUCAAUGAACACAGAAAGCUCCACCAAAGAGACAGUUCAUGGCGAAUUCAGUUAUAGUGACAUUCUAGAAGCUGACGCUGGUCAACCCUUUCUAUCCAUCUCCACCCCAUCUCAGUGUCUUUCUUUUGCUGCUGCUUCUCAUCACCAACAAACUCAUGUCUGGUUUUUGGGAAAUAUUAGUGUGUAAUGGCUUCUAUAAAAUAAGAGCUCUGCUUUCUAGAAAAAUUUAAUAGUCUUAGCAAAUAAGCCCAUGUUUUAUAGUAUUGUUUCAUUAGGAAUAAACACAUAUAUUGUAGUUAAAAAUUUUCUCAGCUUCCGAGUGGUCUUUCCAUUUCAUCAGAUGUUAAGAAGUGGGAGUAUGAACGAAGGAAUUAAAGAAGAAACAGAAAAGAAGAGAAAAAAAUCACAAAAUUUAAUACUCAAACACACCAGGCAACUGUAGUCUCUUUCCUGGAUAAUUUAUGUUAAAAUUUAUCAGACUCAGAAGCUGAUAUGAUAAAUAGCCCAAUAUAGUUUCUCCUUGUCUAAUUUCAUCACAGGUCUAUCUGGCUCAUUUAUAAUGUAAUCUCUUUCUAUUUAAAGGCAAAAUACUUCAAGUAUUUGACAAGCUAAACAUUAGCCCUAAAAAUUUGUAUCAAUCUGCAUUUACAUAUUUUCUACAUAAAAAGUUCUCAAACUCAAAAUCAAAAUAUUUACAAAGGUAUCAUGUGCUUGUCGAUGUCACACGUUUUCUUUGCAAAGUGCAUAAUGAAAAUUUCAAAGUCGAUUCUGUUUCUUUUAAAAUGUCUCCAUUAAAAUACAAAUAAACAAACUAUUGAUGCACG